rfam:Coprococcus sp. CAG:782 genomic scaffold, scf3
CCAUGCAACCGGGGAGGUAGCGGCGCCCUGUACCUGCAAUCCGCUAUAGCGGGGGUGAUGGUCUUUUUGAGGGAUGUCUAUUGUAGAGCUGCCCUAAGUAAGUGAUGUUGAUGUCUGGGUCUUGCGCAACAGGACUCUUCGAACCGUGUCAGGACGGAGACGUAGCAGCACUAAGAGGAAUCUCCUGUGUGCCGUGAGGGUGCCUGGGCUGAGUUAACUGCUGAGGUAACGUUUAUGAUAGCUUUUCGAGAUAAGACCGCAUGG